rnacentral:rRNA from 1 species
GACAGAGGUGCCGAGCGUUAGGCGGAAUCACUGGGCUUAAAGCGUGUGUAGGCGGAUGGGUAAGUACCUUGUGAAAUCCCACGGCUCAACCGUGGAACUGCUCGGUAUACUGCUCGUCUUGAGCCAACUAGGGGCGACCGGAACAAACGGUGGAGCGGUGAAAUGCGUAGAUAUCGUUUGGAACGCCGACGGUGAAAACAGGUCGCUGGGGUUGUGCUGACGCUGAGACACGAAAGCCAGGGGAGCGAACGGG